rnacentral:rRNA from 1 species
AAAUUGAAGAGUUUGAUCAUGGCUCAGAUUGAACGCUGGCGGCAGGCCUAACACAUGCAAGUCGAACGGUAACAGGAAGAAGCUUGCUUCUUUGCUGACGAGUGGCGGACGGGUGAGUAAUGUCUGGGAAACUGCCUGAUGGAGAGGGAUAACUACUGGAAACGGUAGCUAAUACCGCAUAACGUCGCAAGACCAAAGAGGGGGACCUUCGGGCCUCUUGCCAUCGGAUGUGCCCAGAUGGGAUUAGCUAGUAGGUGGGGUAACGGCUCACCUAGGCGACGAUCCCUAGCUGGUCUGAGAGGAUGACCAGCCACACUGGAACUGAGACACGGUCCAGACUCCUACGGGAGGCAGCAGUGGGGAAUAUUGCACAAUGGGCGCAAGCCUGAUGCAGCCAUGCCGCGUGUAUGAAGAAGGCCUUCGGGUUGUAAAGACUUUUCAGCGGGGAGGAAGGGAGUAAAGUUAAUACCUUUGCUCAUUGACGUUACCCGCAGAAGAAGCACCGGCUAACUCCGUGCCAGCAGCCGCGGUAAUACGGAGGGUGCAAGCGUUAAUCAGAAUUACUGGGCGUAAAGCGCACGCAUGCGGUUUGUUAAGUCAGAUGUGAAAUCCCCGGGCUCAACCUGGGAACUGCAUCUGAUACUGGCAAGCUUGAGUCU